rnacentral:lncRNA from 1 species
UAUCAUGUGCCAAUAAUUAUACCUUUAUUAUCUAUCUGUUCUCCUUCUUUUGCGGCUCUGCUAAGCCCAUCUGGAGUUUGUUCACAGACUUUCAUUCUAGUUAAUAAAUUGCUCUAUUAUUAUUUUUUAUAAGUUUCUUCUCUACAGGACACUGAGCUUCUAUCAUGGCCGCAGCUAAGGAGAUGAAGCCACGUGCUGUUCCACAGGGUAUCUGCUCAUCUGGUCAGGGUGGAGACACUGAUGAGAUGGUGUGGGUUGGGUUCCUAGACUCUCUUCCUGUCAUCGGCUCUGUUAAAGAGGCUGUGGAGUGGGUCCUGGCUCUGGGUGAAGGAGAUCCCAUGCUUGCUGCUGAGAAGCAGGAGAAGAUGAUGGUUGCACUGGGGCUGCAAAAGGAGACCAGUGGAAGAAGCUCUGGAAGAUCAUCUGGGUUCAGCUCAGCCGAUGAAGGGGAUGCAGGCGCGGCCAUGGCGGGAACUGACGCUGCAGUUCAUGGUACAGGAAAGAGGGAGCGUGGUAGGGAAGGUGUUCCACUCAUCAGCCUGACUUCUUACAUCGAGAACAUGGCGUCUAAAGGGAAGAAAGGAUCUGUGUCUCAAGAAGCCGGUCAACAGCAGAAGAAAAUGAUUGAAAUUAAAAACAUGAUAGAGGAGGCGUUUCACCGUAUAGAUCCAGACUACCAAAUUGACGAGAAGCUUCUUACAGACACUGGUGUACGUUCUCGAAGAGGAGAGCAUGUGAUCAACAACAAUGUUCUUAAAUUUCACACCAAAAUCCUGACAGAGAGAGGAAUCCAGCGUGAUGUGCAGUGUCCCCUGAAGAGAAGUAUUCAGAAUGAUAUCAUGUAUGAGAUGGUGGCAGAGUUUGAGCCAUACGAGCUGUACAUCAAUGUGAACGCUGUGAUUUAUGGAUUUUAUUGUGGUGUGUUAAGAAUCGCUCUGUGGAAGCUGCUGGAAACAACCAGUAAAAAAAAAACAGUGAAAUCCAACGCAGCAGUUCAGAACUGGAGGAUACAAAUGCUUAGAAGGACUGAAGAGGUGAACUGGAGAGAUGAGGCCGACUGUAUCAUUACUAACAUGAACGUCCACCAGGCUUAUGUGGAUCCUUUUGCGAAGGAGAAGUGGACUGGAAAUUCACGUGCCAAACUUAGAAAGUUUGAAGCUGCUAGAGAAAGUGUAGCGGUCAUGUACCAAGACAUACGCGGACCUGGUUACUUUGAGAAUCUGUCAGUUUCUGGUUAG